GUCUAUGGCCAUGCCACCCUGAACAAGCCCAAUCUCGUCUGAUCUUGGAAGCUAAGCAGAGUGAAGCCUGGUUAGUACUUGGAUGGGAGACCACCUAGGAAGAACAGAUGCUGUAGGCA
rnacentral:rRNA from 1 species